CGCGGUGAUCGGGAUUUUGGGAUGCUCGAAUCGCGGCCUUUAUCGUUUCGGGGCUUUCGUACCUAGCCGAGGUGCUCCAUGGCGGUUCCGAGUGACUUUCCAACUGGAAGAGCGGACGGACUAAGGAAGGCGGUUGGUCGUGAAGCGAAACUUUGAUACUUGAACUACCAACGCUCCAUCUGUAUCUUUGAAAUUCGAGGAGGGAAGGAUGAAUUAAUUUAUCGAUGCAACGACCUUCCUAUUUUGAUAUUUGUCACCAAAAACUGCACGUACGUUAACCUGAAGUAACUUUAAAAUGACCCGAGUCACGUGUCUACCUUGAUAGUUCUAAGCUAUGUAAAAAAUGAUAAUAAAACAAAAAUUGUAGAGGGAAAAUUUACAAAUAUGGUGGAAGUUCACUUAUCGCCCUCGAUUUCUGCGAUAAUCGAGUUAACGAAUCUAAUGGAUGGCUGCAUAUCCUGCAUAUCCCCAUUACUAGCUUCAAACUUACUUAUUGCAUAGUGACCACCCCCUUCAACUAUCGACACUAGGCAACGAACGAGGCUCCCGUGUAAUGAUCGAGGUAAUCUAUCGCAGAGAAUCGAUGAUGCGUUUAUCAAGAUUUACUUUGGAUAUUCCCUAACAUCCCUAGGCGCUAGUCCAACUGGGAUCAAGGUACUCGAAUCGGUGAUUCAAGGGUGGUUUUAGGAUUUUUAUAGUUCACGAAAGUGUAACGUGGUUGAUAUUAUUGCUUGACAAAGCACUCGCGUACCAUGCCUAGAUGCAUUUUUGGGGGGUGAACUUAGCUUCGCAAAUUCUUUUUCCGAUGUCUACUUUAUUCUUUAGACAUAUAAUACAUACACGUAAUACAUACACAUAAAUUGAUUUAACUUCGCGCGGUAGGAAGAUUAAAAUUUCUUAAAAGUAGUUGGCACGCAUAGAGUAUGAAAAAAAGGAUAAAUAAUAGUAGAAAAGUUGUCGAGGGAAAAGUUGCAAAUACGCUGUAAGUUCAAUCAUCGCGUGAGUCCUCGGGCCUGACUUCCUGCAAUAAUCAAGUUAACCAAGCUAAUGAGCGAUGGCUCUGCACAUCAUAUCCCCACUACUCGCUCCAACUUUACUUAUCGCACAGCGACCAUCCUCUCCAAUUGUCGACAUUAGGCGAUGAACGAGACUCUCAUGUAACAAUCGAGGUUCUACUCUAAUCUCUUACAGAGAUCUAUCAAUUGCAAAAUGUAUUCAAUGAGUACUCGUUCGGGAAUUUUGCCCGAGAUUCGUGAUUUUUCAGUUACGCUACGUCAUUUCCGAUCCCCGUGUUCCACGAGCAAAGGACACAGCGGGUGUGUUUCGAUGAAAAAAGGUGGGUGGCCGUGGCAAACCUAGGGGAAACAGUGGCAGGUCCAACCCCAGUGACCUGCAGCUAAUAAGUCGAGGAAAUUUUAGUAAUUCAGACACCUCGCCGUAUUAAUUCAUCGUAAUUCGUUAGACGUGGCGCAUAAAAGACCAAUCUUCUCAAUAAUCCUCGUACGUUUUAGUUCUUUAGUCUCUCGAGCAAUACCCAAUUAACUUUCUAUGCUUUCAUUAAGACAUCAACCAUUUAAGUAUCGACGAUUAAGAUUCCAACAAAAACUACCAGGUCGUUUACACCGUCGACAACGAUAAAAAAAAAUAUUUUUUCUACGCUUUCGCAUAGUACUCGAAUUCAAGCCUGAAAGAAACAAGGACCUCUUGGGUGCCGAAGUUGAAGGUUCAUUAGUUUCGUAGUAGAUCCGACUCGGAAGGGGAACGACGGAUCGACGAAGCAGGCACAGAGGGGAUGAAAUUGAGGGGUAGGAGAAGGAAAGACACUGGCGGAGGAAAGUAAGACGAGUCGCGGGUGAGAAAAAUGGGGGGGGGGGAGGAUGGAUGAACGUGAUUUAGCGGGAGAAGAAAUGAAAACGUAGCAAAAGGGAGAGAGAGAGAGAAAAGGAUGGUGACUGAUUAUACAGGGGAGGAAGGGGAAGAUUGGGAAGCGAGCAUGAGAGACGAACGCAGAUGAGGAUGAAGGGUGGCAUGAGACGACGCUACGUCCAAGGAGGGGAUAGGAAAGACGAAAUAAAGGGACACGAGGGAGCGUGGUCUUAUUGACGAAGGGCAGGGACUCCGCCCUUCUGUUGAGAGUUAAACUCACGUCUGCGCCUCCUUUUUUUUUUUUCGCCGAAGCGGACCACGCGCGCCCGAAAGCGAUCCCUGGGAUUCGCUCCUGGAUUCCCAGCUGAAUCGAAUCUUACUGGAUCUCGGCUUGAGGCUGUAGGUCCUGGUUAGGGCUGGGACCAUUCGUAUAUUCGAAAAUUAGAGUAUUCGAAGAUUUAGAUAGACGGAAUUCAUCGUACUACU